AGCAGCCGCGGUAAUUCCAGCUCCAAUAGCGUAUAUUAAAGUUGUUGCAGUUAAAAAGCUCGUAGUUGAAUUUCGGGAUCAAUCUAUCGGUCGUGCAAUAGUACGUACUGAUUUUAUUGAUUCCUCCCUUCUGAUGAACUAUGAUGUCAUUAAUUUGGUGUCAUAGGGAAUCAGGACUGUUACUUUGAAAAAUUAGAGUGUUUAAAGCAGGCUCACGCUUGAAUACAUUAGCAUGGAAUAACGAAAUAGGACGUUUGAUUCUAUUUUGUUGGUUUCUAGGGUCGACGUAAUGAUUAAUAGGGAUAGUUGGGGGCAUUAGUAUUCAAUUGUCAGAGGUGAAAUUCUUGGAUUUAUUGAAGACUAACUACUGCGAAAGCAUUUGCCAAGGAUGUCUUCAUUAAUCAAGAACGAAAGUUAGGGGAUCGAAGACGAUCAGAUACCGUCGUAGUCUUAACCAUAAACUAUGCCGACUAGGGAUCGGAUGAUGUUAAUUUUUAAUGA
rnacentral:rRNA from 1 species